rnacentral:rRNA from 1 species
CCUACGGGAGGCAGCAGUGGGGGAUAUUGCACAAUGGGGGAAACCCUGAUGCAGCGACGCCGCGUGGGUGAAGAAGCGCCUCGGCGCGUAAAGCCCUGCCAGCAGGGAAGAAAAUGACGGUACCUGAAGAAGAAGCCCCGGCUAACUACGUGCCAGCAGCCGCGGUAAUACGUAGGGGGCAAGCGUUAUCCGGAUUUACUGGGUGUAAAGGGGGCGCAGACGGCGAUGCAAGCCAGGAGUGAAAGCCCGGGGCCCAACCCCGGGACUGCUCGUGGAACUGCGUGGCUAGAGUGCAGGAGGGGCAGGCGGAAUUCCUGGUGUAGCGGUGAAAUGCGUAGAUAUCAGGAGGAACACCGGUGGCGAAGGCGGCCUGCUGGACUGCAACUGACGUUGAGGCCCGAAAGCGUGGGGAGCAAACAGGAUUAGAUACCCCAGUAGUC